AAUUUCACCUCUUCGUCUCCAUAUCUUCUCUCCCCUCUCUGUCUCUAAAUCUCCUUUCCUUUUCAGAUCUCCUCUUCUCAUCGUCUCCAGAUUUCCUCUCUCUUCUCUUCUCGUCGUCUUCCUCCGCCGCAGCUACCACCAAACCCACCCGAUUCAUCCGAAACCCGUUCUGUUUUUUUUUUCUUUUCCGUUUAUGGAUCUGACUAGAGAGUUAAGAAGAAGAAUGAGUCUCUCUGUUAGUCUCUCUUUAUCUCUUUUGAAACAGGUACCACAACCGUUGUUCCAGGUAAAAUCACUGGUGUCGCUUCCGCUUCUCUCCGAUUCAGAUUCUGGAUCUAAGACUGAUACUGAUUCCGAUGCCUUCUUACGGAGCCUCCACGCCUUCUUCUUCGCCAUCCUUCUUCUCUCACGAUUGGGACUAUGUUUGGUUAUUGGUUUAAGCUCCGCUUAGGCGAUGAGACUUUAGAACGGUCUAAGCAGAUGUUUAAGGUCUUUCUCCGAUUUCAUUGCAAAGAAUUUGCGGGGAGCAUGCCGACCUCAGCUGCCCUUGAUGUCGUUGCAAAAACCUUAGGUCUGAAGUUCUUUGAGGUUCCAACAGGCUGGAAUUUUUUUUGCAAUCUUAUGGAUGCUGGGAUGUGUUCUGUAUGUGGAGAAGAGAGUUUUGGAACUGGUUCGGAUCAUAUCCGUGAGAAAGAUGGGAUUUGGGCAGUUCUUGCUUGGUUAUCCAUACUGGCUCACAAUAAAUAUGUCAUCCAUAGACUGUAGACGCAAUAUGUCAUCCAUAGAAUGUAGACGCAACUGCAGCUAAAGAAAUCAUGGGGCUCUUGGUUAAGUUACAAUCUUCACUUCCUGAAGUUUGGAUUUAUGCUAUAGUAUGCAUCUGCAUAAAUGUUCAUGGCCUGAAUAUGUACUUUUAGUUAUCAUUCAUCCCUGCCAUUCUUGUCAUGUUGGUUGGAACCAAACUUGAGCAUGUUGUCUCGAAGCUUGCUCUCGAGGUUAAAGAACAGCAGACAUGCACAACUAAUGGGGCUCAAGUCAAAACUCUUCUGGUUUGAAAAUCUUUUUUUGAAUGUAUUUAUAUAUCUUCUAUUUGAAUGUAUGAUAUUAAACUAAGGUUUAACAUUAAUUGUAAUUGUGUAUGUUUUGCAAUUUAAUUUUUAACAUAUUUUCACAUAA